AGAGUAAUGUCGAAAUAGGCCACGCGAAAGAGGAACUCAUCGGCUGUAAAGUGGGGAGGAACGAGAGAAAUAGAAAUAACGAACGAAAAUGAGAGGAACAAGCAAAUAAAUUUAGUUAUUAUUUUAGAAAUGGAUAAAAAGGGAAAAGAGAAAGGAAGGAGAAGAGAACAAAAAGAAAUUAUGCGUGUAUAAGGGUAUGUGCGUGUCUGUCAACGUUUUGUAUGCGCAUGUGUGUGCAAUGAAGAGAGAGAAAUGUAUAGUCAAAAGGCAGGAGGCGGAAGCAGGACUGAAAGAGAAAGAGAUGGCGAACAGGUGGGAGGGCGAGAGAACGCGAAGUACGAAGGGGUGGUAAACGGGGAACGCAGUGACCAUGCGCUCUGCCGGCGGCUGGGGGCUUCUGGAUCUUUUCGAGGAUCAAGAAGAGGACGUCGAAGAAGCACGGGAGACGCAGACGGUGGUGAGCAGAGAGAGCGACGGCUCCAGGCCGGCACGAGCGAGGUGAGAUGCGCCCUUAUCGCCCUUAUCGCUCUCAAUCGUCCGUGCAGUAUCUAUCGGAGUGCCCCGACACUCCUCGCCAACCGGGUCGCAGCCUCGACGGCUAGCAACGAUAGCGGCGAUACAGGACCGGAGAACGCUCGCUCCGGCCGAACCGACCGAUCUCAAACAUCAGAAGAAGGAUAAAAUUUGAGAAUGGGAGGUGGAGACUGGAGCGGUUGGUUGCAACGAUGCCGGCAAUCUCGGAGGCUCGUUCUCGUUAUCGUCGCCAUCGCAUUGCUGCUGGAUAACAUGUUGCUGACGACCGUAGUUCCAAUAAUACCGGAGUUUCUUUACGAUAUCAAACAUCCUAACGCAACAUUAAGUGACCAUCUAGAAGGAGGCGCAUUUCACCAAACUACGGUCGUCACCACCACAUCGCCAACGGCAACAACAACGACAAAAUGCACUUGUGCUCCAAAUACAUCGGCGACAUCCCCAUUGGAAUUUUUACAUGUUACAACUCCUUCUAUGAAUCUAUCGGAAAUUACUGCAGCCAAUCUCACGUUGUCGGACAUGAAGGAAAAGGAGCAGAGACAUCGGGAAUUAUUAGAAGAGACCGUAGCAGUAGGAAUGAUGUUCGCUUCCAAGGCUUUUGUCCAAUUGUUGGCUAACCCCAUAGUUGGGCCGUUGACCCACAAGAUUGGAUACAGCAUACCUAUGUUUACCGGAUUCAUUAUCAUGUUUCUAUCCACGCUGAUUUUUGCUUUCGGUCGAAGCUACGGUAUACUUUUUCUAGCACGAGCUCUGCAGGGUAUCGGUUCAUCAUGUUCUAGCGUUUCCGGUAUGGGUAUGUUGGCGGAGAGAUAUCAGGAUGACAAAGAACGUGGUAACGCGAUGGGUAUCGCGCUGGGCGGAUUGGCCCUUGGCGUUCUUAUCGGCCCUCCAUUCGGCGGAGUAAUGUACGAAUUUGUAGGAAAAUCCGCUCCGUUUUUAAUUCUUUCUGCGUUAGCCCUUGGCGAUGGAUUAUUGCAGCUUUUGAUGCUCCAACCAUCGGUCGUAUAUACAGAAGCAGAACCACCGUCGUUAAAAUCUCUCAUCACUGAUCCCUAUAUUGUUUUAGCAGCUGGCGCGAUAACAUUCGCAAAUAUGGGCAUCGCUAUGCUGGAGCCGAGUCUACCUAUUUGGAUGAUGGAUACGAUGGGUGCAAGUCGUUGGAAACAGGGGGCCACGUUUUUACCUGCGAGUAUCAGUUAUCUGAUCGGAACAAAUCUUUUCGGGCCGCUCGGGCACAAAAUGGGCAGAUGGUUAGCUUCUCUGAUUGGACUCGUCGUUAUCGGUAUCUGCUUGAUGUGUAUUCCUCUAGCGAGAAGUAUCGAUCACUUGAUUGUACCGAAUGCGGGGCUGGGAUUCGCGAUCGGAAUGGUGGACAGUUCGAUGAUGCCCGAACUGGGAUAUCUGGUUGACAUAAGGCAUACCGCUGUUUACGGGAGCGUUUAUGCUAUUGGCGAUGUGGCGUUUUGUCUUGGCUUCGCUAUAGGUCCAGCAUUGAGCGGAACUUUGGUCAAUAGUAUUGGUUUUGAAUGGAUGCUUUUCGGCAUAGCUUUGUUAAAUUUCAUUUACGCCCCUCUUAUGUAUUUCCUAAGGGCGCCACCAACCAAAGAAGAGAAAAAGUCGUUAAUAAUUGGUGAAAAAUCAUCUGUGCGUUAUGUCACCUACCAAAAUGAAGAAGAGGACCAGUAAAAUUAUAAUUUUAAGCGUUCUCUCGAUAUAAUCCGUUAUUUCACUUAGAACGCAUAUUCUUUUUCCCUUUUUUUUUUCAACAUGUACAGAAAAUAGUUGCCUUCAUGUUACGUUAAUUUUUAUGUCUAUCUUAAUUUCUACAAUAAUUUUCAUCGAUUGAAAGACAAUAACAUGUUAUUAUUCUUCUUAAUUUUCGCGUUUUCUAAUUAUUAUUGGAAUAUUCGUAUUUUCUUGUUUUAAUAAAUGAUAGGAAGCUACAAAUACAGCGACAAUAAGCAUAACUGUUGACAUGCACUUGAUAACAUUUGGCAAACUAAUGUGUAAAUGUCGCGCACGUUAUCAACGUCUGAACUCGGGAGAUCUCACAUUCUCGAAUAUUCACGGAUAGAAAUAGCCGUAACGAGGGUGACACGUUGUGAAAUGUCUUUCUGUGUAUUCUGCAUCAUCGAUAUUAUUGUUACACACAUAUUGUAUGUAACAAACAAGUAAUGGUAGUCUAAAGCCUAAAGUAACGCAAAAGUCGUGGAAAAAAAAUAAAAUAAAAAAAGCUCGUUAUACCGUAGCAUGAAAUAGUAAAAAAUAUAUAUAUAUUCGUUGAUAGUAGACGUGUUUCAUGAUAUAUAUAUAUAUAUAUAAAGAGCAGGCACACGAUGCAAAAGUUAUCUUUAAAUGUAAAGGCUUAAAUUCACGAUGCAUAGUUAUAUACAAUGCCAGUUGUAGAGAAAAGAUAAUAAGUGUAUAGAAAAAAGUCGAAGGCAUAAUUCUAUUAAAAAUGAAUCAGAGGAUCAACCGAGGCAGAAUAAUAACGUAAUGGGACGAGAUAAUCGAUAUCGCGUGGUCGGUAUAUCGGUGCUCCUGUAUCCUUCCGGAUAACAAAUUGUACAAUGGAAUUCAGUCCUACGUCGAGAAGAGCCGCCCGAUUUGGUUUCCCUGAAUGGCUGCAGGGAAACCGAUGAUAGGAACGAUCGGGUCUUUAAAGAGUUCUUCGUAAUUGCAAUACGGCCACGAUCAGAUCUUGUAUUUUCGUCGUGAGAACGAUGCGACAUUUUUACGCGAAGUACUCUGGCGCAUACGAUUUACCGAAACUCGCUGAUCUCAUUCGCCAUAGGUAAACGAGAGAGGAUAAAAUGUGAAAGAAAAAGAAAGAAGUAGAAAGAGAAGAGUACGAACUUGUCGCAAAUUCCACCGUUUCUCCAUGAAUUCUUCGAGAUUAAUUUCCGUUUUCCGCCAUUUCUCAAUGCAUGCAAGAAAGAAUGUAUAGAGAAUGUCGUGGAAUUUGUCGGGACAGAGAAUAGUAUCUAAACUUAUAUUAGAAAAAAUAAUGCUGAGAGAGAGAGAGAGAGAGAGAGAGAGAUUGGGUGAAUGAGAGUGAGAAAGAGAGUAGAAUAGAAUAAGAUAGAGUAGAGACGAGGUACGAAGCGUUCGCAGGAUUUGCGAAUUAUAUGAUAAACUUUA
rnacentral:misc_RNA from 1 species